UGAAAGCAUAUUUAAAAUGAACUCAUACAAUUCAUAGUAUGCUAUAUCGUAUAUACAGUAUACCAAGUUGUAAGUUGAAUCAGGAAUAAGCUACAUUCAAGAACAUGUAAAACAUAUUACUAUGGCAGUUGCAGUAGCCUCGGAAUGGGCUUCAAGUCAAACAGAAAACAUAACAACCAACUGGUGCGUACCGACUACAUAGAUAUCUCAAACUAAAUCCUUACUCGUAAGGACUGAUGCAGCUUGGAACGGGGCAGAGAAAGUCGCAGGCUUAGGCUGGAUUAUCGUAGAUCAGAUCUGAGCUACUUCCUUCUCUUCUUUCACAAGGUUUGUAAGUUCUCCUCUUGUGGCGGAAGGACUAGCCCUCAUGACAGAAAUCUUAACAUGCAGAGACUUUGGCCAUCCAAGGAUCCGAUGUGAAUCGGACUCCUCUCAGCUUAUCAAAGCGAU
rnacentral:lncRNA from 1 species